UGGUUCUUGUGUGUUGAAGUGCGGAAUUUCUAACCUUUGGAAAUAUCCGCCAUUCAAUCAAUUUCGUCUUCAAUAAGUAACGAUUAUUGAUUAAAUUUGAUGCUUUUGAAUCAUAAUCGAAUUGGUUACCAUAUCCCUGCUUCAAUUUGUUCAACAAACAAGAUAUAGGGGGUGGAUUUUGGCUGGAAACUUUGCUCAAAGAACCUGUGUUGAAGCUACUCGAAGAACCCUAAUUCGAUCCGCCAUUUCGUUAAUUUCAUCUUGAAUAGAGGCAUUCACAAUUUCAAACUUUUUUGUUAUCGACUUGGCCAAGUUUUGAAGCACGGUGCCUACGACCCACUUGGAUGCGGGCUCCAGGAUUAAUUAAAUGGAUGAAGAUAGUUGACUGUAAUAGCAUUGGAGAGCCAGCUUGAGCAAUGGAUCCAGCUCUCUGCAAUCAAUGACCGAUACAAAUGAGAGAAUAAUGGUGCACGUGUAAGCGUGGGGGCGAAAGAAAGCUUGACGACACUGCCGUUGAUGAAAUUGAAGGCUUGUAACAUCUCUUUUAAGGAGGUGCAAGUAACUUGUAGUUGUUGGUGGUGCAUGUAAUCGCCACUACAAUUAAUGUUUAACCUCAUAGUGGCUCUUGGUGUUUAGUGUCAAGUGCAUAAAACUUAAGAACAUAAAAAAGACCUUUCUAUUUUCAUGUAUCCCGAGGUUGAAUUGUCCUUUUUAUGCACAUCAAAUUCAGUAUAAAAAAGGAUGGGACAAAUAUUGUCUUGAGAGUGUAC